GGGUGCGAUCAUACCAAUGUUAAUGCACCGGAUGCCAUCGAAACUUUUCAGUUAAGUGUGCUUCGGCUAGAGUAGUACCAGGAUGGGUGACCUCUCAGGAAACCCUAGUGUUGCAACCU
rfam:Picea glauca, whole genome shotgun sequence.